rnacentral:rRNA from 1 species
UACAGAGGUCUCAAGCGUUGUUCGGAUUCAUUGGGCGUAAAGGGUGCGUAGGUGGCGCCGUAAGUCGGGUGUGAAAUUUCGGAGCUUAACUCCGAAACUGCAUUCGAUACUGCGUGCUUGAGGACUGGAGAGGAGACUGGAAUUCAUGGUGUAGCAGUGAAAUGCGUAGAGAUCAUGAGGAAGACCAGUGGCGAAGGCGGGUCUCUGGACAGUUCCUGACGCUGAGGCACGAAGGCCAGGGGAGCAAACGGG